rnacentral:lncRNA from 1 species
UUCAUUUGCUACUAAUAAACCUCUAGAAGCUCUUCUCAUUGUCUUUGAUGAGCCUGGCCAGACUAGGCUUUAGCUCAGUCCGAACUGCAUCUUGGAUACGUGAACUAUGUCUCUGUGCUCCUCUCAAGUUAUCUGUCCUUACUUCUACCCUCUGUAUGCCUCCUUUUAGCAUUUGACUUAGGCCAGGAACUACUCAUUCAUCCAUGUGGGUCUGCUGGCACUUUUGUCUGACUUCCUCUUUGUUGGGAUGAAAUUUUCUUGAAUUUGGAGAAGGUGAUCCUGAAUAUUAACCAGACUUCUUGGGCCCUUCUUCCCUCCAGGGCCUAAACCCACAGAAGAGCACGUUUUUGUCGCUGGCAGCUCUGGUGAGAGCUUGGCAUAAAAGGGCUGUAAGUCAUACACUAUGAAGAGAGGCUUGCUUUGUCUAAUUUGGAGAAAAGGAGGCCAAGAGGUGACCUCAUUGGUCUUUACAACUUCCAGAGGAAGGGAAAUGGAGAGAGGGUCACUGAUCUCUUCUCCCUGGAAACCACAUAUAGAAGACGAGUGAAAGGCACAAAGCUGUGCCAGGGAGGUUCAGACUGGACAUUAGUAAAAAUUUGUUUGCCAUGAGGGUGGUCAAACACUGGAAGAAGCUUCCUAGCAAGGUGGUUGAUGCCCACCUUGUGUGAAGACUGUCAGCAUUCAAGAGGGAUGAAGAGCAGGAGGAAGCCAUGGGAAACCUCAGAAGAAGCUUCAGAGUCCAUAGCAGCCUGCUGAAUCCAGCAAAGGAGCAGUUUAUCUUCUCCAAGGUUCUCAGGACUAAGUGGACUGGAAGAGCUCUCCUUUCCGAGUUCAGAGGCCUAAAGUGGGUCUUGUUUGAGAAGCUAUACCUCAUGUAUAUGAACAGCAUUGUGUUCUCCACCUUGUUCAUCCUUUGCUCCUUUUGAUCUGAGGACUCGGCUCGUGUGUGGUGACAGCAAGGCAACAUGAACCCAGGGCACUUGCCCUACUGCUGUGGUCAGACCUUGAUCUCCUCAUCAUAAACUGUCUGAAGAAGGUCUCCUAUUGAAAAAGCUUAAGAAUAACUGUAUAGAGCACAAAUGUAAAUUUCCAGAUUAAAUUCUAAACUUCAAAUGUUGACUGCAGUGCUUAUGUACUGUCAUGAUGUCUUCAACGAAAGUUUUUGUUUGGUUUGAUUUAAUUUCAAGA